rnacentral:misc_RNA from 1 species
GAUGAAGAACGCAGCGAAAUGCGAUACGUAAUGUGAAUUGCAAAUUCAGUGAAUCAUCGAGUCUUUGAACGCACAUUGCGCCCCCUGGUAUUCCGGGGGGCAUGCCUGUCCGAGCGUCAUUGCUGCCCUCAAGCACGGCUUGUGUGUUGGGCCCCGUCCUCCGAUCCCGGGGGACGGGCCCGAAAGGCAGCGGCGGCACCGCGUCCGGUCCUCGAGCGUAUGGGGCUUUGUCACCCGCUCUGUAGGCCCGGCCGGCGCUUGCCGAUCAACCCAAAUUUUUAUCCAGGUUGACCUCGGAUCAGGUAGGGAUACCCGCUGAACUUAAGCAUAUCAAUAAGUGGAGGA